rnacentral:rRNA from 1 species
UAUAAAAGUAAUUAAAAAAACUUAAUUAGUAUUAGUUAUGUUCUUGAAAAUUAAAGAUUUUGGCGGUAUUAUAGUCUUUUCAGAGGAACCUGUCCUAUAAUUGAUAAUCCACGAUUAAUUAAACUUAUUUUAUAGAUUUGUAUAUCGUCGUAGUUUGAAUGUUUUAGAAGAAUUUUAAUGUUCAAAAUUUUUUAUUUAAAUAGAAAAGAAUUCAGAUCAAGGUACAGUGAAUAAAUAAGCAGAGAUGGGUUACAAUAAAAUUAUUUAUUAUUAAUUAAAAAAUGAAUUAUUUUUUAUGAAAGUGGAUUUGAGAGUAAUUUAAUUAAUUUAUUUUUAAUGAAUAAAGCUCUAUAAUAUGC